AUGCAAGUCGAGGGGUAACAGAAAAGCUUGCUUUUGCUGACGACCGGCGCACGGGUGCGUAACGCGUAUGCAACCUACCUCAUACUGGAGGAUAGCCCCUGGAAACGGGGAUUAAUACUCCAUAGUAUCACAAUUUCGCAUGUUAUUGUGAUUAAAGUUUUUCGGUAUGAGAUGGGCAUGCGUCCCAUUAGCUUGUUGGUGAGGUAACGGCUCACCAAGGCAACGAUGGGUAGGGGGCCUGAGAGGGUGGUCCCCCACACUGGUACUGAGACACGGACCAGACUCCUACGGGAGGCAGCAGUGAGGAAUAUUGGUCAAUGGAGGAAACUCUGAACCAGCCAUGCCGCGUGAAGGAUGACGGCCCUAUGGGUUGUAAACUUCUUUUAUAGAGGAAGAAACUUGUCUACGUGUAGACAACUGACGGUACUCUACGAAUAAGGAUCGGCUAACUCCGUGCCAGCAGCCGCGGUAAUACGGAGGAUCCAAGCGUUAUCCGGAUUCAUUGGGUUUAAAGGGUCCGUAGGCGGAUUUUUAAGUCAGUGGUGAAAGCCGACAGCUCAACUGUCGAACUGCCAUUGAUACUGGAAAUCUUGAGUACAAAUGAAGUAGGCGGAAUGAGUCAUGUAGCGGUGAAAUGCAUAGAUAUGACUCAGAACACCGAUUGCGAAGGCAGCUUACUAACAUGUAACUGACGCCUGAGGGACGAAAGCGUGGGGAGCGAACAGGAUUAGAUACCCUGGUAGUCCACGCCGUAAACGAUCAUCACUCGCUGUUGGCGAUAUACUGUCAGCGGCCAAGCGAAAGUAUUAAGUGAUGCACCUGGGGAGUACGCCGGCACGGUGAACUCAAGGAAUUGACGGGGGCCCGCACAGCGGUGGAGCAUGUGGUUCAUUCGAUGAU
rnacentral:rRNA from 1 species